rnacentral:rRNA from 1 species
GACGAACGCUGGCGGCGCGCUUAACACAUGCAAGUCGAACGGAAAGGCCUGCUUUCCCUUGUGUAUUGCGGGUACUCGCGUGGCGAACGGGUGAGUAACACGUGCGUGAUCUUCCCCCAACUUGGGUAUAAGCCUGGGAAACUGGGUCUAAUUCCCGAUAGCACUGCAGGGUGGUGCCUGUGGUGGAAAACGAUUUUCUAGUGGUUGCGGAUGAGCUCGCGGCCUAUCAGCUUGUUGGUGGGGUAGUGGCCUACCAAGGCGGCGACGGGUAGCCGGCCGGGGAGGGUGGACGGCCAGAUUGUGACGGAGAUAAGGCCGAGACACAUACGGGAGGCAGCAGUGGGGAAGAUAGCAGAAGGGGAGGAAGCAUGAUGCAGCGAAGCCGCGUGGGGGAUGACGGCGUUCGGGAUGUAAGCUCCUGGGGAGCGCGAGGAAGCCACCUGGUAGGAAGGGUGGGGAAGGUAGUGGUAGAAGAAACAACGGCUAAAUAAGUG